rnacentral:rRNA from 1 species
ACUGGAAUAACUUCGGGAAACCGGAGCUAAUGCCGGAUAACAUUUGGAACCGCAUGGUUCUAAAGUAAAAGAUGGUUUUGCUAUCACUUAUAGAUGGACCCGCGCCGUAUUAGCUAGUUGGUAAGGUAACGGCUUACCAAGGCAACGAUACGUAGCCGACCUGAGAGGGUGAUCGGCCACACUGGAACUGAGACACGGUCCAGACUCCUACGGGAGGCAGCAGUAGGGAAUCUUCCGCAAUGGACGAAAGUCUGACGGAGCAACGCCGCGUGAGUGAUGAAGGUUUUCGGAUCGUAAAACUCUGUUAUUAGGGAAGAACAAAUGUGUAAGUAACUGUGCACAUCUUGACGGUACCUAAUCAGAAAGCCACGGCUAACUACGUGCCAGCAGCCGCGGUAAUACGUAGGUGGCAAGCGUUAUCCGGAAUUAUUGGGCGUAAAGCGCGCGUAGGCGGUUUCUUAAGUCUGAUGUGAAAGCCCACGGCUCAACCGUGGAGGGUCAUUGGAAACUGGGAAACUUGAGUACAGAAGAGGAAAGUGGAAUUCCAUGUGUAGCGGUGAAAUGCGCAGAGAUAUGGAGGAACACCAGUGGCGAAGGCGACUUUCUGGUCUGUAACUGACGCUGAUGUGCGAAAGCGUGGGGAUCAAACAGGAUUAGAUACCCUGGUAGUCCACGCCGUAAACGAUGAGUGCUAAGUGUUA